rnacentral:rRNA from 1 species
ACGAACGCUGGCGGCGUGCUUAACACAUGCAAGUCGAACGGAAAGGCCCUGCUUUUGUGGGGUGCUCGAGUGGCGAACGGGUGAGUAACACGUGAGUAACCUGCCCUUGACUUUGGGAUAACUUCAGGAAACUGGGGCUAAUACCGGAUAGGAGCUCCUGCUGCAUGGUGGGGGUUGGAAAGUUUCGGCGGUUGGGGAUGGACUCGCGGCUUAUCAGCUUGUUGGUGGGGUAGUGGCUUACCAAGGCUUUGACGGGUAGCCGGCCUGAGAGGGUGACCGGCAGGAUGGGGGGAGGGAUCGGGGGCAGUACGGGAAGGCGGGGGGCAGGGGGGAAUAUGGCGCAGGGGGCGGGAGGCGGGGGCAGCGUGGCGGCGGGGUGGGGGGUGGGCUCCGUGUCGUCAUCCGCUUGCGGGGGGGAUGAAGGGUGGGUGACGGGAGUGAGAAAGGAAGCACCGGCUAACUACGUGCCCGAGGCCGCGGUAAUAUGCGGAAGAGCACGCGUCAGACC